CCAUAUAUAUGAUAAGAAGUCAGUGAGCAUGUGAAGCUCAAAGUCAUAAUUGUAUUUGGU
rnacentral:tRNA from 1 species